rnacentral:rRNA from 1 species
GUCUCAGUUCGGAUUGAAGGCUGAAAUUCGCCUUCAUGAAGCCGGAAUUGCUAGUAAUGGCAGGUCAGCAUACUGCCGUGAAUACGUUCCCGGGCCUUGUACACACCGCCCGUCACACCAUGAGAGUUGGGAAUACCCGAAGCCUGUGAGCUAACUAUACGAGGCAGCAGUCGAAGGUAGAAUCAAUGAUUGGGGUGAAGUCGUAACAAGGUACC